UGGAGGCAGCAGUGGGGAAUAUUGGGCAAUGGGCGAAAGCCUGACCCAGCAACGCCGCGUGUGUGAUGAAGGCCUUCGGGUCGUAAAGCACUUUUCUGGGAGAUGAGAAAGGACAGUAUCCCAGGAAUAAGUCUCGGCUAACUACGUGCCAGCAGCCGCGGUAAAACGUAGGAGGCGAGCGUUAUCCGGAUUCACUGGGCGUAAAGCGCGUGCAGGUGGCGCGGUAAGUUGGGUGUGAAAUCUCCCGGCUCAACUGGGAGAGGUCAUUCAAUACUACCGUGCUUGAGAGCAGAAGAGGAAGAUGGAAUUCCCGGUGUAGUGGUGAAAUGCGUAGAUAUCGGGAGGAACACCAGUGGCGAAGGCGAUCUUCUGGUCUGUUUCUGACACUCAGACGCGACAGCUAGGGUAGUAAACGGGAUUAGAUACCCCGGUAGU
rnacentral:rRNA from 1 species